AUUAAAUAAGCAAGAGUUUUUGGUGGAUGCCUUGGGUCUGGAAGUCGAUGAAGGACGUGAUUACCUGCGAUAAGCUUCGUUUAGCUGGAAAUGAGCAUUUAGACGGAGAUUUCCGAAUGGGGAAACCUAAUUAGGGUAAUGCCUAAUUGUCAUAAUCGGUGAAUCCAUAGCCGAAUGAUGAGACACGCUGUGAAUUGAAACAUCUCAGUAGCAGCAGGAAGAGAAAAUAAAGAAUGAUUCCCCUAGUAGUGGCGAGCGAACGGGGAAAAGCCUAAACCAACACUUGUUGUUGGGGUUGUAGGACUACUUAAUGAAGUUUGACAAAUAUUUACAUAUAGCAGAAUGAGUUGGAAUGCUUUAACAUAGAGGGUGAAAUUCCCGUAAGCGAAAUGUGUAAAUCUUCUAGUAGUAUCCUGAGUAGGGCGGGGCACGUGAAACCCUGUCUGAAUCCGCCGGGACCACCCGGUAAGGCUAAAUACUAACCAGACACCGAUAG
rnacentral:rRNA from 2 species